AAAGGGGCUUCGGCUCCGAGUAAAGUGGCGCACGGGUGAGUAACACGUGGGUAACCUGCCUCUAAGAUUGGGAUAACUCGUCGAAAGAUGAGCUAAUACCGGAUAAGACCACAGUUCCUGCGGGAACAGGGGUCAAAGGUAGCCUCUGCUUGCAAGCUAUCACUUAGAGAUGGGCCUGCGCACCAUUAGCUAGUUGGUAGGGUAACGGCCUACCAAGGCAAAGAUGGUUAGCUGGUCUGAGAGGAUGAUCAGCCACACUGGAACUGAGACACGGUCCAGACUCCUACGGGAGGCAGCAGUGGGGAAUAUUGCGCAAUGGGCGAAAGCUUGACGCAGCAACGCCGCGUGAGUGAUGAAGGCCUUCGGG
rnacentral:rRNA from 1 species